rnacentral:rRNA from 1 species
ACUCCUACGGGAGGCAGCAGUGGGGAAUAUUGGACAAUGGGCGCAAGCCUGAUCCAGCCAUGCCGCGUGAGUGAUGAAGGCCCUAGGGUUGUAAAGCUCUUUCACCGGUGAAGAUAAUGACGGUAACCGGAGAAGAAGCCCCGGCUAACUUCGUGCCAGCAGCCGCGGUAAUACGAAGGGGGCUAGCGUUGUUCGGAUUUACUGGGCGUAAAGCGCACGUAGGCGGACUAUUAAGUCAGGGGUGAAAUCCCGGGGCUCAACCCCGGAACUGCCUUUGAUACUGGUAGUCUUGAGUUCGAGAGAGGUGAGUGGAAUUCCGAGUGCAGAGGUGAAAUUCGUAGAUAUUCGGAGGAACACCAGUGGCGAAGGCGGCUCACUGGCUCGAUACUGACGCUGAGGUGCGAAAGCGUGGGGAGCAAACAGGAUUAGAAACCCGUGUAGUCCCAU